AGAACGAACGCUGGCGGCAGGCUUAACACAUGCAAGUCGAACGCACCGCAAGGUGAGUGGCAGACGGGUGAGUAACGCGUGGGAAUCUACCCAACCCUUCGGAAUAGCUCCGGGAAACUGGAAUUAAUACCGAGUACGCCCUACGGGGGAAAGAUUUAUCGGGGUUGGAUGAGCCCGCGUUGGAUUAGCUAGUUGGUGGGGUAAUGGCCUACCAAGGCGACGAUCUAUAGCUGGUCUGAGAGGAUGAUCAGCCACACUGGGACUGAGACACGGCCCAGACUCCUACGGGAGGCAGCAGUGGGGAAUAUUGGACAAUGGGCGCAAGCCUGAUCCAGCCAUGCCGCGUGAGUGAUGAAGGCCCUAGGGUUGUAAAGCUCUUUCAGUGGGGAAGAUAAGUGUCGGUACCCACAGAAGACGCCCCGGCUAACUCGUGCCAGCAGCCGC
rnacentral:rRNA from 1 species